UACGUAGGGUGCGAGCGUUGUCCGGAAUUAUUGGGCGUAAAGGGCUCGUAGGCGGUUUGUCGCGUCGGGAGUGAAAACCCAGGGCUUAACUCUGGGCUUGCUUUCGAUACGGGCAGACUAGAGGUAUGCAGGGGAGAACGGAAUUCCUGGUGUAGCGGUGAAAUGCGCAGAUAUCAGGAGGAACUCCGGUGGCGAAGCCUGUUCUCUGGGCAUUUCCUGACGCUGAGGAGCGUUAUUUUGGGGAGCGAACAGG
rnacentral:rRNA from 1 species